UACGGAGGAUCCAAGCGUUAUCCGGAUUUAUUGGGUUUAAAGGGUGCGUAGGUGGCUUAUUAAGUCAGGGGUGAAAGACGGUAGCUCAACUAUCGCAGUGCCUUUGAUACUGAUAGGCUUGAAUACACUUGAAGUAGGCGGAAUGUGACAAGUAGCGGUGAAAUGCAUAGAUAUGUCACAGAACACCGAUUGCGAAGGCAGCUUACUAAAGUGUGAUUGACGCUGAGGCACGAAAGCGUGGGGAUCAAACAGG
rnacentral:rRNA from 1 species